rnacentral:lncRNA from 1 species
CCAACAUCCCCACCAUCUUUUGCAAUAUUUAACUCUCUUUUGUGAUCUUCAGCUAUAUGUCUCAUUAACGUACCCGUACCCCCUUGCUUGCCUCCACUUCUAUGCUUAUAUAUUUGUUGACAAAUAUUGCAUUGCACCUCAAUAUCUGAUAUACGUUCAAAAAAUUGUCAUGCAAUACUAGUUCUUUUACGAGGUCUUGGGGCACUGGGAGGACGGUGAGGGAGAUUAACCGAUUCAGAUCUAACGUUAGCAUCUCCUACUGUGGGUG